rnacentral:sRNA from 1 species
UAUUCUGCCCCACGGGGAAGGAUGAGAAGCUUCGACCAAGGUUCGACUCGAGCGAAGCGAGAGAACGUUGCCGCAGGCAACGGCCCGAAGGGCGAGGCGCUUUAG